GUGGUGGCAUGCUUUAUUUUUAUUUAUAUACAAGAAACAUAUAAUUAUAUUUAGAAAUAUAAUCAAUUCGUUACUUAUAUUAUCAACAAUAUAAUAAAAAAAAGUAAACAUCACUAACAUUGAAAAAUUAAAUUUAUUGUAUAAUCCAUAAAUUAUUUUUAAAAUAAACAACAGGAACCCACCAUAACCCAUUAUUAUUCGGUCAUGCAAAACCCAAAAAAUAAAAAUUAAAACAAAAAGUUCCCCAAGUCCCCCAAGUCCCCCAAGACUCCAACCCACUUCCUUUUCUUCUAUCGUGAGGCAGAGAGCCAAAAACAAAAGAGAAAAAAAUUAGGGUUUAGGUUUUCUUUACUUUACAAGAUCUGUCCCUUCUUUCUCAAAUUUUUUCCAAUUUCUUUAAACUUUGCCUAGGCUACCAUUGAUUCCUACCAAAAUGCCUGAAAAUGUAAAGAUGAUUUGCAAAGGUUUUGUAAAAAAUUUCUCAUCAAUCUUUGCAUGUUAUAACAAAAAAAAAAAGAAGCAAGAAUCAAGACAAAAAAAUUU
rnacentral:lncRNA from 1 species